UAGACUUACACCGUCUCGCACUCAAAUGCGUAGAUGUUUGGAGGAAUAUCGAUCGCGAAGGCAGCUCCUGUUACAACACUGCCGCUCAUGCACGAACGCGUGGGGAGCAACAAGGGUUUCUGCUACCCUGGUAGUUCUUACCCUAAACCGAUGUCAAAAUAGUUGUUGGGGGAUUGCAUUAUUUUAGUAAAGUAGUUCAAGCCUGAAGUUUGCCGCCCGGCAAGUACCGUCGCAAGAUUAAACCUCAAAGAAUUGUCGGUCUUCCCCACAAGCCGUCGCUGAUGUUGAUUAUUUUGAUGCAACCCGAAAAUCUUACCUACCCUGCCUGGUUGGAAUCCUAGGAGAGCCGGAGUGCUCGCCAGAGACCCUCCACAGGCGCUUUUUGCUAACAAAAGCUUUUUUCGUGAAAGUUGGUUAAUCCCACGACGAGCUCACCCUUGUCCUUAGUUAUACGCAAGUCUUUCUAACGACCCUACCGUUACCAACCGCAGCAAGGUGGGGAUGCCGUCAAUUCCUCUUCGACCUUAUGGGUAGGGCUUCUCACGUCAUACAAUGGUCGGAACAGAGGGUUGCCAAUCCGCGAGGGGGAGCUAAUCCCAGAAAACCGAUAGUAGUCCGGAUUGCACUCUGCAACUCGAGUGCAUGAAGCUGGAAUCGCUAGUAAUCGCGGAUCAGCAUGCCGCGGUGAACCGUUCCCGGGUCUUGUGCACAGAGCUCGUCACACCAUGGGAGUGGGUGUCCAGAAGCGACUGCUACUACCUUACUACUGACUAGCAUGUAUCACAAACAUGUAUCAAUACA
rnacentral:rRNA from 1 species